AUGGCCCGGGCUCCUCUCCUUUUCACCCUCCUCAUUCACUGCACAGGGUCUUUGGUUCAGUCUGUCUUGACCCAGACGUCUGCAAUGUCUGGGUCUGUGGGGCAGACAAUCAGCAUCUCCUGCACUGGAAGCAGCAGCAAUGUUGGACUUGGUUAUCCAUCCUGGUACCAGCAGCUCUCUGGCAGUACCCCCAGAAUGCUCAUCUACUAUGCUGAUCAGAGACCAUCCGGGAUCCCAGAUCGAUUCUCUGGCUCCAGGUCAGGGAACACAGCCUCCCUGAGCAUCUCUGGGCUCCAGGCUGAGGAUGAGGCUAAUUAUUACUGCUCAGCCUGGGACAACAACAUUAGUGCUUACACAGUGCUUCAGGCCAGUGGGGAAGUGAGACAAAAAUGUGCUGCACCCAACAGUGGGUCUUCUCUCUGCAUCCUCAGCCAGAACACCUGCUUUCUCUGUAUGGCCCAAAGCUAA